GAUGAACGCUGGCGGCGUGCCUAAUACAUGCAAGUCGAGCGAACGGACGAGAAGCUUGCUUCUCUGAUGUUAGCGGCGGACGGGUGAGUAACACGUGGAUAACCUACCUAUAAGACUGGGAUAACUUCGGGAAACCGUAGCUAAUACCGGAUCAUAUUUUGAACCGCAUGGUUCAAAAGUGAAAGACGGUCUUGCUGUCACUUAUAGAUGGAUCCGCGCUGCAUUAGCUAGUUGGUAAGGUAACGGCUUACCAAGGCAACGAUGCGUAGCCGACCUGAGAGGGUGAUCGGCCACACUGGAACUGAGACACGGUCCAGACUCCUACGGGAGGCAGCAGUAGGGAAUCUUCGGCAAUGGGCGAAAGCCUGACGGAGCAACGCCGCGUGAGUGAUGAAGGUCUUCGGAUCGUAAAACUCUGUUAUUAGGGAAGAACAUAUGUGUAAGUAACUGUGCACAUCUUGACGGUACCUAAACAGAAAGCCACGGCUAACUACGUG
rnacentral:rRNA from 1 species